GUCUAUGGCCAUACCACCCUGAACGUGCCAGAUCUUGUCUGAUCUUGGAAGCUAAGCAGGGCCGGGCCUGAUUAGCAUUUGGAUAGGAGAAGUCACUUUCUCUGUGCAGUGACCC
rfam:Camelus ferus unplaced genomic scaffold scaffold4120, whole genome shotgun sequence.